AUUGAACGCUGGCGGCAGGCUUAACACAUGCAAGUCGAGCGGGGUGAUGGUGCUUGCACUAUCACUUAGCGGCGGACGGGUGAGUAAUGCUUAGGAAUCUGCCUAUUAGUGGGGGACAACAUUUCGAAAGGAAUGCUAAUACCGCAUACGUCCUACGGGAGAAAGCAGGGGAUCUUCGGACCUUGCGCUAAUAGAUGAGCCUAAGUCGGAUUAGCUAGUUGGUAGGGUAAAGGCCUACCAAGGCGACGAUCCGUAACUGGUCUGAGAGGAUGAUCAGUCAAACCGGAACUGAGACACGGUCCGGACUCCUACGGGAGGCAGCAGUGGGGAAUAUUGGACAAUGGGGGCAACCCUGAUCCAGCCAUGCCGCGUGUGUGAAGAAGGCCUUCGGGUUGUAAAGCACUUUAGGUCGGGAGGAAGGUUCGCUGGCUAAUAUCCAUGGCUAAUGACGGUACCUGAAGAAUAAGCACCGGCUAACUACGUGCCAGCCGCCGCCGUAACAC
rnacentral:rRNA from 1 species